AUUCAAAAUCAUGCAUAUGAUCUCUCUCACUUGUCCUUGUCCUUACUCUCUCCUAUUUAUUACUUUUAUUUUCAUUCCAUUACCACUUAACUUAUUGCUCUCUCUCUCUCUCUCUAUAUAUAUAUCUAUAUAUAUAUAUAUAUAGAUAGAUAGAUAGAUCCCCACUAAUAUUGUAGCUAGCUCUGCUUUCACUUUGAACAUAAAACCAAGUUCUCUGUUUAUGCCAAAAACUUGUUAUAGCUCUCAACACUCUUAUUCUUAUAUACAUACGUACUCUUGAGAUUAAUAUUAGUAAUAUAUAAAAGAUAAAUAGGUGAAAAUGGUGAUGAUGGGGUUGGAAAGGCUGAUGGUGAGUUUGAAGACAAAGAUAAGAUCUCUGAAGAUGAAGAAACCUUAUGAUAAGAUCGAGAAGAGUGAAAGCAUGAGAGUGGAGAUAAGAAGCAAGAAAGCCCAGAAGCUUAUUGAAAAGACUCUCAAGAUUGCUGAUUCUCCAACUGCCAAGUCCUAUGCUUUUUGACUACUUCUUCUACUAGAAACAAACUACUUAUGAUCUCUUAACUUCUUAGAACAAACAAGACUACAAGAGUGAAGUGAACUAGUAUAAUUAUAUUGAUAAUCUUAUGCUUAAUUUUUCCAUAUGCUGAUCUUCUACUCUUAUCUCGUUUCUCCUUUUUUUUAUGGUUUAUACAAGAUGAUGAAGUUAAGGGUC